ACAUGAAUCCCUUGGGGAUCUGGUUAAAAUGAAGUUCUGAUUCAGUAGGUCUGGGGUGGGGCCCCAGAGUCUGCAAUUCUAACAAGUUCCCAGAUGCUGCUACU
rnacentral:pre_miRNA from 1 species